rnacentral:rRNA from 1 species
UACGGGGGGGGCAAGCGUUGUUCGGAAUCACUGGGCUUAAAGGGCGCGUAGGCGGAUUUGCAAGUCCGUGGUGAAAUCCCACAGCUCAACUGUGGAACUGCCUCGGAUACUGUGAGUCUCGAGGAUGGUAGGGGUAUGCGGAACUAUCGGUGGAGCGGUGAAAUGCGUAGAUAUCGGAAGGAACACCUGUGGCGAAAAGCGGCUCACUGGACCAUAACUGACGCUGAGGCGCGAAAGCGUGGGGAGCAAACAGG